rnacentral:miRNA from 1 species
CAUUUCAUAAAAUAUAUACUCAUUUAAAUUGUUAAGUUCAAAACUUUUAUCUACAAACUCAUGUCUUUAUCCAUGAAUUCAAAUCUUUAUUACUUAU